rnacentral:misc_RNA from 1 species
UCUUUUUUUUUUUUUUUAUCACUGAUGAGUGAAUGAAUUUGACUAUUAUUUUCUCACCUUUUAGUUUCCAAAAAUUUAAAUGAUUAAACUUUGCCAGAUAUUUGCUUGGCCCUGUACUGCUAUAUAAAUGGAAGAAUUACUAUUCUAAGUUUUUUAUAUCGAGAUUACAGCUUUUCUAACUGCUGAAGAUAUAUAUCAACUUGAAUGAGAAGGGAGGAAGCUUACCAACCAAUGUUCUUCAUUUCUGUUCACUGCACGUGUUUGGAAGGUUCCGUGGGAAGUGGUUCUGCGAUUGUAUAAUAUAUUAAUGUAGACUAGAUAGCUUAUUGUGUUGUUGACCAAUCACUGUGGAAUGCUUGAUUUUUGGUCACUUCUACCUCCACACCCUGUGUUCAAAUAUGGGUUUUAUUGGUUAGCUCCUCCAAGAAUUUUAUCUUUUUGUUGCAUGGGACUCCCUCAGUGCAGUUUAAUUUAGUUGAACUGAUUUUUUUUUUUUUUUUAACUGAUUUGAAUCCAAGUGUAUGAAUGAGGGAGAGACAUAUGGUGGAUCCUCUUCCAAUCCAUGUGCUUCAUGUGGCAAGAUGAUUCAUGAAAGAAAAUUUCAUGGAAGGACUUCAAAUUCUAUCAAGUUUUGUAACUUUUAAUUUAAUGUGGAAUAUCUUCAUUGAAACAUUAUUUACAUUGUUCAGUCUGCCAUUAAUGUCAUAAUCACUUUUCUUUGUUGUUGGUUCCCUACAUGAGAAUAUUCCUUUUUUCCUUUUACCCCUUAUAUGGCUUAAAGUCUGAUUGUAUAUUAUGACUUUGUAGUUGUGGCAACUUAAAACUAUUUCGAAGUGGCAACCUGUAAAGGUAUUUUUGACCUUCUGAACAAUGAGGAAGUGGGGAAUAAAAUGAGGUAAA